UACGUAGGGGGCAAGCGUUGUCCGGAUUUAUUGGGCGUAAAGAGCGUGUAGGCGGCCAAGCAGGUCCGCUGUGAAAACUCGAGGCUCAACCUCGAGAUGUCGGUGGAAACCGUUUGGCUAGAGUCCGGAAGAGGAGAGUGGAAUUCCUGGUGUAGCGGUGAAAUGCGCAGAUAUCAGGAAGAACACCUAUGGCGAAGGCAGCUCUCUGGGACGGUACUGACGCUGAGACGCGAAAGCGUGGGGAGCGAACAGGAUUAGAUACCCGGGUAGU
rnacentral:rRNA from 1 species